rnacentral:sRNA from 1 species
GCAAAGAAUUUCUAAACACUUGUUGAACAAAAUAUGUUUGAUAUCAAAAUACCUUUCAUUGAAUUUUCUUAUUUGUUUUACAUCUAUACACUGCAAUACUGUGACUAUGUAUCAGUAUAUACAGUGAGUAAGAUGUUGAAAAGAAGUACUAGUACGAAACACAUCAAAAAAUAGUAAAUCGUAUAUAUGUAAUCUGACAACAAUACAUCAUUCACACAAUAUUCAUAGUGGUAGCAGGUUACCACUAAUUGAUAGCGCUGAAAAAAUAAGGAAGAGAAUAGGGAAUUUAUAUUUUUCCGAGCUAGACGUUCAAAAAUCGUGUUAUAUUGAUUAGUGAAUUUUCAGUACCGCAGAACCAACAAUCUCUCAAACAGAAAAUGGUGGUAGUGAUUGAUCACUGAUUAUAGUAGAUUUACUGAAAAUAUGAUGCCCCGUGAAGACAUCGUUUUUACCAGACAUUAAUGCAUCCUCGAUUUUUUCCUCCAAAUCACACUAUACCUAUGUUACGUAAUGUUACAACCUGAUAUUUUCACAAAUUGUUUAGAUUUGUCUAAAUGUCAAGUUACAAUUUUGAUCAACAGUUUUGAGUUUAGGGUUUAGUCUCAAACACCUGCAACUCAGUAGGAGUCUGUGCAUUGAGGCCACAUACGGCCAAUUGUAACUGGCUGUAAUUGUAUGUUUGUUGAUUAAUGUAAACUAUUACCAUAAUUAAAACUAGUUUAGUAAAUAU